rnacentral:rRNA from 1 species
UACGAAGGGGGCUAGCGUUGCUCGGAAUCACUGGGCGUAAAGCGCACGUAGGCGGGUCCUUAAGUCGGGGGUGAAAUCCUGGAGCUCAACUCCAGAACUGCCUUCGAUACUGAGGAUCUCGAGUCCGGGAGAGGUGAGUGGAACUCCGAGUGUAGAGGUGAAAUUCGUAGAUAUUCGGAAGAACACCAGUGGCGAAGGCGGCUCACUGGCCCGGUACUGACGCUGAGGUGCGAAAGCGUGGGGAGCGAACAGG